UACGUAGGGUGCAAGCGUUAUCCGGAAUUAUUGGGCGUAAAGCGCACGUAGGCGGUUUUUUAAGUCAGAUGUGAAAGCCCGGAGCUCAACUUUGGAAGGGCAUUGGAAACUGGAAAGCUUGAGUGUAGAAGAGGAAAGUGGAAUUCCAUGUGUAGCGGUGAAAUGCGUAGAGAUGUGGAGGAACACCGGUGGCGAAGGCGACUUUCUGGACAGAAACUGACGCUGAGGUGCGAAAGCGUGGGGAGCAAACAGG
rnacentral:rRNA from 1 species